AUGUCAUCACAUCCGCCGCGUCGCCGGGGCAACGGGGGCCAACCACUAACUGCAAGAGGGAGAGGCGAGGAGAGCGCCUCCGCGGAUGGGAGGGCGGGGCCGGGGGCGGGGUGGGGCGCCCCCGCGCCCCCUAACCCCACCCCUCGGAAAAAUACAAGAUUGCCCUGCAUGCAGUCCUUUACCUUUUAGAUCUGAUAUGUGGGAGAUUGUCUUGACCUUGAGAGAGAACAAACAUUAGACAGCAAAUAAUGGAAAGGUGUGGAGUUUCUAUCCCUGAUGACAUUCAAGAAGAGACCAGACUCUGUCACCAGGACUUCAGUGAGAGCUGAGCCGACAGAUCUCCUGAGGCUUCCCAGCUCCAAGAAUUCUGUAUGAUGUUUACCCUGCAGUGAUGAUAUAUUCCUUCUUCUGACAGCUUCCAACUCCCCUUUCUCACCUAGGAUUUCCACUCUCCCUGACAGAUUAAACCACUGGGCAACAAUAGUCCUUUUCAAAUGAUACUUUGAAAUUUAUACUUUCCUCCUGUCCUGGGGCUUAAACAAGUCCAUGAAUCCUGAAGAAUCCAAGUCCCUAGUUCUCAGACAGGCCUAAGGAGUUGCGUGCAGACUCAGAGUCUCCCAUGCUGAUUUACAUGCCUUUGACCUGCAAACUAGCAAUUACCACCUGCAGGAACAGUGAUCUCACCCUAACUAGCACCUCAGCUGAACAUAGCAUCAGCCUGGUUGUCUGUAACCUAUGAUCCCCAGAUAACUUGACCUCUGAGCAGCUUUACAUGGAUUCCUUGUGUGUUGCAGUAUACCAUUCAAAAAAUGGACCAGGUUAAAGCAAAGGGAAUGGGAAUGAGGUGCCAUUGUGGGAAACCUUUUCCCAAGAGACCCAAGCUACUCCCUCCUCCUUUCCUUGUAGCCACCUGAAAAGAGAAAGAGUUCGAGUGACCCAGUGCCUCCUGAUCCCUGCAUCCUGAUAAGCUUGGGCAGCUUCAUGUUCAAUGAGAUUGACUCCCAACGAGAUAUCACUCCCAUGCUUUAAAAUGUUGAGUGACUCCCUAGAAAAUCUAGGAUAAAAUACAAAGCCUUCAGCCAAUGAGGACAUUGGAAGAUCUUUCCAUGUUUUUAUUUUCUUAAAACCCACACCUUUCAUCUUAGAUUCAAUACUAAGGCAAAGGAGUGAAGGACUAGGCAAUAGAGAUUAAGUUACUUGCCCAAGGUCAUACAGCUAGGAAGUGUUGGAGGUCAAAUUUGAACCCAAGACCUCUCAUCUCUAGACCUGGCUCUCAAUCCACUGAGCCACCUCACUGCCCUGUUUCCAUGUUUUUUUAGAAAUGAACCUGCUUGUCAUUUCCAGUAUCUCUUACCUUUACAAAGAUUGCCCUGUAUGCCUGGAGUCCACUUCUUCCUGACCUCUAACUCUUAGAAGCAAUACCUUCUUUCAAGUGCCACCUUGGUUUACUUGAAUUAUUCUGACUCCCAUAGCUCCCACAGAGAUCAAGCCAUACUGACCUUCUUUCUGUUGCACACACCUGACAUUCCAAGGACCAACUUUUUUUUUUUAAUUUAGAAUAUUUUUCCAUGGUUACCUGAUUCAUGAUUCACACACACACACACACACUCUUUCCUCCCCACUCCUGAAGCUGACAAGCAGUUCCACUGGGUUAUAUAUAUGUAUCAUUAUUCAGAAACUAUUGCCUUGCUAUUCAUGUUUGCAGUAGAGUGAUCUUUUAAUCUAUGUGUGUCACCCUGCCUCAAACAUUUUUCUUAUAAACAACAUAUAGUUGGAUUCUGGUUUUUAAUCCACUCUGCUAUCUGCUUCUGUUUAAUGGGUGAGUUCAUCCCAUUCACAUUAAGUGUUAUGAUUACUGGGUAUUGCCCUCCAUAAUAUUAUCCCCUUUAGAUCCUGUUCUAUUCCCUUUCACUCUGUUCCUCCUCACCAGUAUUUUACUUUUUGUCACCUCCCAAUUCCUCCUCCUUUCAAUUACACCCCACUUCCUGUGACAGAGGUUGGCACUAGAGAAAAAGUGCCAGGCUGAAGAGUAUGUGAAAUUGAUCACCUCGAUGGGGGAGGGGCCUCAGGAGUUUUGGAAUCUUGGAGGAGAAGACUGGCUGGGGAAGAGAAGUGAGGCUCCUAGUCGGGAGAGGUGGAUAAAGACUUUCUCCUGAGGGUUACCCACUUUUCCUGCUGGUGACUGGAAAUCUUUCCCCCCAACACUUCCCAAUUGAAGAGACUUACUGAAGAGAAACCUGAGCAGACUUUACCUCAACUCCUGUUGCCUAGGGAUGUGCACCAUUGAAUCCAGCCACAUUAAUCCGUGACCUACCAUUGGGAGAAAAGCCUAUAUACGUGAUUGCACACAGACUGUAGAAAUAGUACAUAAAACCAGAGAAGAUCUGAAGGACACACCACUCAAUGAUCCGGACCUUCAGAUAUAUUCGGAUGGUUCUUCAUGUGUUUUCAAAGGCAAAAGAAUCACGGGGGCUACAAUUGUGAUGGGGGACAGGACCCUCUGGUAUGCGUCGUUACCAAGUAAUGUCAGUGCUCAAGGAGCCGAGCUCAGAGCCCUCAUAGAAGUGCUGGUGCAGUCCAAAGGCAAAAGGGUGAAUAUAUAUGUGGAUUCAGCUUAUGCCUUUGGAAUUUUCUUUGCCACGGGAGAAACUUGGAAGAAUAGGACAUUUGUCACAACAUCUGGAAAAAGGAUAGCAUAUGAGAACCUCAUAAACCAACUCUUAGAAGCAGUGAACUUACCAAAGGAAAUGGCAGUGAUCCAUUGCAAGGCUCACUCCUCUGGCAAGGACGAGGUAGGGUGAUAGAAUUCGGUACCCACUGAGUAUACUCGUUUUACCCUCUCUGAGCCAGUUACAAUGAGAAUAAAGUUUAAGCAUUGCCUGUCACCACCCUUAUCCUCCCCUCUCUGUAUUGAUGUUUCUCGCCUUUUUAUGUGAUAUAAUUUACCUCAUUCUAUCUCUCCCUUCCCUUUUCUCUCAGUGCAACCCUCUCUUUGAGCCCUUGAUUGAUUUUUACAUGUCAUUCAUAUGCAUACAUAUCAUAUCAUACAACCUUUUGCUCAAGUUCUACCUGCCUUCCCCAACACACACAGAGACACACACAGUGGAAAAUAAGCUUUUUGAGAACAAAACCUAAUUAAUUUAGUAUCUUAGAUUGUUGUUGUUGUGGGUAUUUGUUUAACUCGGCCUUUGGUUUCAUUGGCAUAGGAAACUCCCAAGGAAGAAAUUUCUCCCACUAAUGAAAACCAGCAAAUGGUCAGCAAAAAUGCAAUCUUUAAGAAUAAUUUUAACCAAAAAAAAAAAAAAUUUAAGUGGAUUGUCCAGGAUCAGAUAGAACUUGAACCUAGGUAUAACUGGCCAACUCACUACAUACUACACAAUACUGUCUUUCAUAGGAGAUGCUUAAUUAACAUUCAUUGAAUUGAAUUAAAUUAGAUGGAAAACAAACAGAUGUAUUUCUUUUUUCUUUUUAAACCCGUACCUUCUAUCUUAGAACUAGGUAUCGGUUCCAAAGCAGAAGAGCAGUAAGGGCUAAGCAAUGGGGGUUAAGUGUCUUUCCCAGGGUCACACAGGUAGGAAGCGUCUGAGGCCACAUUUGAACCCAGGAUCACUCAUCUCUAGGCCUGG